rnacentral:rRNA from 1 species
AUUGAACGCUGGCGGCAUGCCUUACACAUGCAAGUCGAACGGCAGCACGGGAGCAAUCCUGGUGGCGAGUGGCGAACGGGUGAGUAAUGUAUCGGAGCGUGCCCAGUCGUGGGGGAUAACGCAGCGAAAGCUGUGCUAAUACCGCAUACGAUCUAUGGAUGAAAGCGGGGGAUCGCAAGACCUCGCGCGAUUGGAGCGGCCGAUAUCAGAUUAGCUAGUUGGUGGGGUGAAAGCUUAUCAAGGCGACGAUCUGUAGCUGGUCUGAGAGGACGACCAGCCACACUGGAACUGGGACACGGUCCAGACUCCUACGGGAGGCAGCAGUGGGGAAUUUUGGACAAUGGGCGCAAGCCUGAUCCAGCAAUGCCGCGUGCAGGAUGAAGGCCUUCGGGUUGUAAACUGCUUUUGUACGGAGCGAAAAGGCUUUCUCUAAUACAGGGGGCUCAUGACGGUACCGUAAGAAUAAGCACCGGCUAACUACGUGCCAGCCGCCGCCGUAA